CAGUCGCCGCGGGAAAACGGAGGGGGCUAGCGUUGUUCGGAAUUACUGGGCGUAAAGCGCACGUAGGCGGCUUGGUAAGUUAGAGGUGAAAGCCUGGAGCUCAACUCCAGAAUUGCCUUUAAGACUGCCGAGCUAGCAGGUGAGAGAGGUAAGUGGAAUUCCGAGUGUAGAGGUGAAAUUCGUAGAUAUUGGGAAGAACACCGGUGGCGAAGGCGGCGACCUGGUCCGAUACUGACGCUGAGGCGCGAAAGCGUGGGGAGCAAACAGGAUUAGAUACCCCCGUAGUCCCUGUCUCUUAUAA
rnacentral:rRNA from 1 species